UACGGAGGAGGCAAGCGUUAUCCGGAAUUAUUGGGCGUAAAGCGUCCGCAGGUGGCACCUCAAGUCUGCUGUCAAAGACCGGGGCUUAACCCCAGAAAGGCAGUGGAAACUGAAGUGCUAGAGUGCAGUAGGGGUAGAGGGAAUUCCCGGUGUAGCGGUGAAAUGCGUAGAGAUCGGGAAGAACAUCGGUGGCGAAAGCGGCUCUGCUGGACUGCAACUGACACUCAGGGACGAAAGCUAGGGAGCGAAUGGG
rnacentral:rRNA from 1 species